GACGAACGCUGGCGGCGUGCUUAACACAUGCAAGUCGAACGGAAAGGCCCUGCUUGCAGGGUACUCGAGUGGCGAACGGGUGAGUAACACGUGGGUGAUCUGCCCUGCACUUCGGGAUAAGCCUGGGAAACUGGGUCUAAUACCGGAUAGGAGCCAUUUUUAGUGUGAUGGUUGGAAAGUUUUUUCGGUGUAGGAUGAGCUCGCGGCCUAUCAGCUUGUUGGUGGGGUAAUGGCCUACCAAGGCGGCGACGGGUAGCCGGCCUGAGAGGGUGGACGGCCACAUUGGGACUGAGAUACGGCCCAGACUCCUACGGGAGGCAGAAGUGGGGAAUAUUGCACAAUGGGCGCAAGCCUGAUGCAGCGACGCCGCGGGGGGGAUGACGGCCUUCGGGUUGUAAACUCCUUUCGCUAGGGACGAAGCUUUUUGUGACGGUACCUAGAUAAGAAGCACCGGCUAACUACGUG
rnacentral:rRNA from 1 species